GGUGGCUCAGUGGUAGAGCGCUUGCCUUGCAUGCAUGAGGCCCUGGGUUCCCCAGCACCA
rnacentral:tRNA from 1 species